CCGGCGGGAAGGGCUGGGCCCCGCGGCCAGCGCGGCCCCUCCUGGGCCAGGCACACACACAACUCUGAAAGAAAAAACAGCGAAGGCAGCAGUGGUGCAGAAGUGGGUGGACCUGGACGGAUUCGGGAGAGGACGAGCGGCAGCUGGGGCGAGGGGUCAGUUGGAGGGGCUUCGAGCCUGAAAGGGUCCCGAGUUUCCAGGAUCAACCGGACACCCUGUAGGCGCGCUCUUUCUUUUUGCCCUGGGGCUUCGGAGCCCCCUCUUCGUCUGCCCAGCGUUGGGGUGGCCUGGGCGUCACCCCCCAGGCUCGCGGGACUUUUCUUUGAAAGCUGGGAGACCCCUGGGGGCAUGCACCUCCCACAGGCCUGCCACUGGAGCGAAAAGGCGGCCGUUGCUCAGACCGGCCUGCCAGAAAACUUGGCAAACUUCGGUGAGAUUCUCCUGCCCAGAGCGAGAGCUCCGGCUGGCUGAGGGCUCGGCCUAGCGACCUUUCAUUUAUGUCGCUUCUCUAGGAGCCAGCGCGAGCGAGCUCAGUGGCCUUCACGCGCUGCAUGUGAGCGGGACGACGGAAACGCACUUUCUGUCCAAGCCAGGCCCUUAGCUCGGUGCUAGAGUUUAAUGCCUUUUGAAUUUCUUUUUAAACAGCAUUAAUAUAAUAAAGAAUGCAAUAAAAAGAACAAAGGACAAAUUGGUUCAAUUGUUUUAGUCCCGUGUAAUGUUUAAAAACACCCCUGCUUCAGUCUAUAGCUUGUUAUUGCUUCAAGAUGUUUUAAAAGCCCUUUAAGAUCACCAUUCUCACUUUGAUGCUUCAUCCUGGCAUGGUCCUACUUAAAAUGCAAUGGAUACAUAGAUUCUCAGCCUCUUUAUGAAGCUGCACGGCGUUAUAAUAGUACUCGGUAACUCAAACGACCACGUGGAGGACAACCAAAACUGUGCCAUCCUGCAGUCCCAUAUGAUUAAUCUUUAAAAUGUAAAGCGGUGAGGGUUUUAUUUUUUAAUGAAUAAAACACAAAAAGUUGAGUGUGUAUCAAUUACUAAUUGCAAUUCAAUGAUCACUGACCAUUAAGUGUCUUCUUGGAUGCCUUAGAUUUAUAGUAGCUGAAAAGCCAUUCUAAUGAGAAUGCUGGAAGUGUUUGUAUUGAGUGCCUGGCUCAUAGUAGGUGCUCAAAACAUACCGUUUCACUCAAAGGGCAUAGAGUGAUGAUAAGUUGAAGCCCAUAAACCAUGGGUUUUGUACUCUGAUCAUGUGGAUAGAGGCCCAAAGGGAAAGAGGAAAAUAGAUCUGUUGGAGAAAAAUGUGAUCCAAAGUAAGAAGGGAGUUACUUUGAUAUGGAAGGUGGUGAAGGAGAAAAAAAAAAAAGCCAUAAAAAAAGUUUAAUUAAUGAGCACACUGCGUUCAGCACCCUGUGGGAGUCAGCUCAAAUGAGACAUGUAUAAAAACUGCAUCCAUCCAGUGCUGGGUAGCUCAGCAAAGGACACCAUCAUCCUUCCAGAUGCCCAAACCAGAAGUGCCUGAAGUUACCCAUGGCUCCCUGCUCCCUAACAGGCCCUAGCCUAUCAUUCACUGAAUCCUCCUUGACCACAAUCCUGGUCUACCCUGUUGCCACAGUGCCUUGUUGGACAUCCUAUUUGUAGCAUGGGCUGAAGUGUGGCAAGGAAAUUAGAGUAAGGGGGCUUUUCUAAAAUGCAAACCUAAAACAUGUCAGUCCGUUCCAUGGCUUACUUCCUUUGGAAUAAAGUCCAGUUUUCCCACUCCUGCUGCCCUGGCCUCUACCUGUCAUUCAAAACCCCAUUUGUACCUAUUCUCCCCUUCCACUCUCUCUUUCAGUAAUGCUGAGCUUGGUUCCUUUCCUUUCCUCACUCUCCCCACCCCUGGGCAUUUGCUCACAAUUUCUGGGUGGAACAGUCUCCUUGCCUUCUCUCCCAACUCCUGAUUUCCACUCCCAUUUCCCUUAAUUCUAUUCAUUCUUUAAGUCUUGACUUAUGUGACAUUUUCUCCAAAAUGUAUCUCCUUGUGGCACCUUCCUGUACCCACCUACCCUUUGGGCCAGUUGAGUUGCUCCUUUGCUCUGGAGCGCCUGCAUAUUACCUCUUGUAAUACUGUCCGUUCUCUCUUUCAGGCACUAGAAUGGAAACUCUGUGAGGACAGGAACUGUUUUUAACAUUUAUUUAUCUGACUGCUUAUGAAUUGAGAGGCAGGAAAAGCCAUCCCCAGAUGAAGGGAUGAGAGGAAGGUCCAGGAACACAUGUGGCUAUGGACUGUGCCUUGGUCAAUCCAAUGGCUUUGAAAUACCCAGGACCAGCGAAGAGGGCGCUCUCCUCACUGAAUGUUCUUAAGCAGCAGAGAUGCAUGUAUAGUUUGGAAACAAGAAAAAAAAGAGAUUAAAAAGAGCUAGAAAGAAAUGGCAAGCGAUGUAUAACUAAAUUCAGGACCAAGCACAAUUGGCAAGGUGGUCUCCCGAAAGCAUCCGCAACUCAGAGCAAAUUUUCAGAUUGCUUUCACUUGGUGCUGAGAGGAUGAGGACAAGAGGACACAGGACAAGUUUGUCACCGUGUCCUGGGGAGAAGCUCUUUCCAUCAUCAGAUAUCCAAGAUUCUCCCUGUUGUCCAGCAUUUGAAAGUAUCUUUCCAACGUCCAGAGCUCAGGACUCUUUGGUUUUGAUUAGAUGUGUGACUUUUCAAGGUCAUAUGAAGAUGAGAUCAAGUGGUCAGGAAGGAAUUUGAGGAACAUCACAUUAAGUUUUCCUAAAGACUUUGCAGCAAAUCAGGAGGAAAGAAUUUUCCUUUCAUACCAAGUGAAUCAGAAAUCAUCUACAGUACAAAAAACAAGAGUCCACAUUAAUUAAUUCUGUACGGUGUUUCUUCUACCUGUGAUGGCAUAAACCCACUCCGCUGUUUGCCAAGACCCACGAAAGCAUAGAUGGAAUGCUUCUCUGCAUCCUGUUGCUGAUUUCAAUAUCUGAAAGAAUAAUUUGUCUGACUAUUCCAAUAUUCCUGGGGUCCAGAGGCUAAAGAUUAUUAGCAUAAUUAUUAGCAUACAAAAAUAUGGAAAACUCAUGGAGGACUUCGGCGGUCGGGACAGGACGCCUCUUCGUUGUCGUAGCUACACUCACUCCCGCACUGUGUGUGUUCGUUCAGUCAUUACCCACGAUUUACUCAUUUAUCAAGUGCUAAAAAUGACCAGACACUGGCCACUGGGACAUGGUUCCUGUGUUCUGAUGGAGCUGAUAUUUAUGAAAAUAAAUCAUCACCGAACAGGGAGAUGCAGGGAGACCAUCCAAAGGCCGUAGGAACGUGGAAGAAAGAUCCACCAACAGCACCAAGGAGAGGGAGAGGACUCAGAGGGAGAAGGUAGCGGUUAAACUUAUAUUGUUCUGGAGAAAGGUGCUGAAGCCCUGUGGAGUGAGAGGGGCCACCACAGACCUGCCACCAUGUGCCUAGACACAGUUCUUUUCAGAGUACAAGCUCCAGGAGAAGAUUGGUGUGUUUUGCUCCCUGUGGCAUCUCCCAGUUCCUGAAAAAGUGCUCAAUACAUACAUGGAAAAUCUAAAUGAAGACGUGAACCUGUUCUACAGUCCAUCCAGCAGCGCCUGUGGCUGGUGAGCUCUAGGGAAGGAGAGAGGAGGUACUUUGGGGAAGGCCUGAAGUAGCCUUAAAAAACAAAACAAAACAAAAAACAAAGGAAUUCUUGACCUGGAGGUUCUUUGAAAAUUUGAGUUGGGGCCUCAGUCUCAUCCUCUUGAUGAAAACAUUUCAGUGAGACCCAAUAUGUUGGGGGUGAAGCCCAUACUCCUUAAAGAGGUGCUGCAGGUCUCCUGGAACUGGAGUUUGCCUGACUCUCCAGCAUCUUCAGUGAUUCUCCACCGCGUAGACCUGUCCUCUCUGGAACUCACCAGGGUAUGGAGUUCCUGGGAUUCUCCGUGAUUUCUGAAGGCAGGUCAGUUUCACGUGAGUUGCUCAUUGCUGUCGUGGGAACCCUCGGAUGCCAAGACACCGUGACCAUCCCCUUAUCCAGGACGUCUGGCUCUUUAGCCUCCUCUACCCCACUCAGGAUACAGGGCUGCUCCUAAAUACCCAGGAACCCGGCAUACCUCCUGUAGUGUAUCACUGGAUGUGCCCUACAGCAACUUUAUUUUAGGUGGCAUGAGUUGUGCUUUGUGUCUCUGUGUCCCCAACUGCAUGGCCCAGUGCCUGGUCUCGGGAGGCCCUCCCUUGCUGUCUGUUAGAUGGUAAGGUGCCCAGACCCCAUUCAUGGAAUCCACUCAUUGGUGGUGUCAAUGAGGUGCGAGAGACUGGAUUUGAAACGUGUUUGCAAGCUACUUUGGUACAAAAAGUCUAGAAUAAAAUUUAGGACCGUAAAAUCAAAACAUUUUAGAACUAGGAAGAAUUUAGGAGUUACAUGGAGGAGUUGCUUUUGGUCAAGAAUCAAUGGUCUAAAAACAAGUCAGAGACACAGCUUUUACCCUCCAGGGCCGCAUCCGAAGAAUAUGAACAUUGGAGCAGAUUAUUUAAAAAUAUCAGGUUAAAUGCACUCAACUUAAAGGAUGUUUCUAAUUCAAAGACUAUGUCUCCCUCCUCAUAUUUUGAGGUUAUUUAUGAAUGAUUUCCUGAUAGAUAGUGGGGUUUUGUGUGUGUGUGUGUGUGUGUGUGUGUGUGUGUGUGUGUUUGUGUUUUAGUUCCUUGGCAACCCUAUGUUAGUUGUUGGUUCCUUCUUGAUUCGUUUAGUUUAAUUGGCUUACUAAAUCCAAAAAAUCUGGAAAUCCUAGCUCUUAUGUCUUUCCCCUCAACUGAUACCCAGAGAGAUGAUGGCUUGGUUCAUAAUCAAAUAAAUGAAUGUUUCAGUUCUAUGUCUUUCUGUAAUGCAAUUGGUGUACAUUAAGAAAUAUCAUGUACAUUUGGUGCAAUUGGUUUUCUGUUGAACAUUUAAAAUUCAGAAAUGAAACAAUCCAUUAACAUAUUUGUUGUAUUGCAUUUGGAAACAGGUUUGCUCUCUGCAAAGUGUCAACAACCAUAUGGUAUUACUGUUUGUCAGUAUUUGGGGAGGUUUUAAGAAAUGUCAAAGUACCAAAAUUAUAUAUAUAUGCAAUGUUAUUAUUGACUCUGAUGUGGAAAUAAAGACUGUUCUCUAUCAACUUUUGAUUGCUUACUAAGUUUGAAGGUGUUGUGAGAACCUUAAAAUAGAAUUUAAAGUCACUUUGAA